rnacentral:rRNA from 1 species
CCUACGGGAGGCAGCAGUGAGGAAUAUUGGUCAAUGGACGAGAGCCUGAACCAGCCAAGUAGCGUGAAGGAUGACUGCCCUAUGGGUUGUAAACUUCUUUUAUAUGGGAAUAAAAUGUUCCACGUGUGGGAUUUUGUAUGUACCAUAUAAAUAAGGAUCGGCUAAAUCCGUGCCAGCAGCCGCGGUAAUACGGGGGAUCCGAACGUUUUCCGGAUUUAUUGGGUUUUAAGGGAGCGUAGGUGGAUUGUUAAGUCAGUUGUGAAAGUUUGGGGCUAAACCGUAAAAUUGCAGUUGAAACUGGUAGUCUUGAGUACAGUAGAGGUGUGCGGAAUUCGUGGUGUAGCGGUGAAAUGCUUAGAUAUCACGAAGAACUCCGAUUGCGAAGGCAGUUCACUGGACUGCAACUGACACUGAGGCUCGAAAGUGUGGGUAUCAAACAGGAUUAGAUACCCCAGUAGUC